GACGAACGCUGGCGGCGUGCUUAACACAUGCAAGUCGAACGAAGUGGCGAACGGGUGAGUAACGCGUGAUCAACCUGCCCUUCAGAGGGGGACACCAGUUGGAAACGAAUGCUAAUACCGCAUACUGAAGGAGGGGCUUGCGUUUGAUUCGCUAGUUGGUGGGGUAACGGCCAACCAAGCCGAUGAUCAGUAUCCGGUCUGAGAGGAUGAACUGCCACAUUGGGACUGAGACACGGCCCAAACUCCUACGGGAGGCAGCAGUAGGGAAUCUUCCGCAAUGGGCGCAAGCCUGACGUAGCAACGCCGCUUGAGUGAAGAAGGUUUUCGGAUCGUAAAGCUCUGUUGUAAGAGAAGCGGUAUCCUACCAGAAAGCCACGGCUAACUACGUGCCAGCAGCCGCGGUAAUAC
rnacentral:rRNA from 1 species